rnacentral:rRNA from 1 species
GACGAACGCUGGCGGCGUGCCUAACACAUGCAAGUCGAGCGAACAGACGAUGAGCUUGCUCCACUGACGUUGGCCGCGGACGGGAGAGUAACAUGAGCAUCACAUACCUAUAAGACUGGGCUAACAACGUGAAACCGGUGCUAAUACCGUAUAAUAUAUUGAACCGCAUGGUUCAAUAGUUACAGACGGUGUUGAUGGCCCUUAUAGCUGGCUCCGCGCCGCAUUGGCUGUUUGGUAAGGUAACGGCUUACCAAGGCAACGAUGCGUAGCCGACCUGGGAGGGGGAUCGGCCACACUGGAGGUGAGACGCGGUCCUGAGUCCUACGGGCGGCAGCAAUAGGGAAUCGUGCGCGAAGGGCGGAAGCCUGCCGGAGCAACGCCGCGUGAGUGAAGAAGGUCUUCGGGUCGUAAAACGCUGUUAUGAUGGUAGAACAAAUGUAUAAGGAACUAUGCACGUCUUGACGGUACCUAAAGAGAAAGCAACGGCUAACUACGUG